UCAGCCUGACACCUCUUUUGGAUCAUCUGCCUGGUUUGUAAUUUAGGUUUUGCUUUUUUGAAGCUGCCUCUCAGAUCAUUCUUAGAGCCAUAGUUCACAUCCCAAGAAUGAAGUUCUUGGUGUCAGCAGUAUUUCCACCAUAGAAUUAGCUGCAGAUGAAGAAAAUGGACACCGUGUGUUAUAACCAUGCUCUCAAGCCCACUUUAUAAUAUGUUCCCUGGUGGGUGAAGUUAUUAUCAAGUACGGACCAUCAUGAGUACUUUUCAGUGGAGAACUAUGACUUCAAAAGCACUAUGUUGAAGAGGUACAACUGAAAUAAAAGCUUAAAAGAAGAUGGAGAUUGGAGAUGGAAGUUUAUCUUCAUCUAUGGAACUGGAAAUACACUAGCUUUGUAGAAAUUAUGGGUAUUGAAUAAAAAUUUAUCAAGACAACUAAAUAAUAUGACAUGAGUUACAAGAUAUCAUUAGA